UGGAAGACAGGGCAAAAAAACAAAGAAUGACUAUGUACCUGCGCUCACUCGGCGGAGCAAACCUGAAUGCUGCCGUUAGGCGAAUGCUCCGCCGAGUGGGCAACAAUGACAUCUGGUCAACUUUUAGCUUCAAGGGAAGGCUGGGCAAGCGCCCUUUCAGUAAGCUAAGGCUAUGUGAAGCAAUGAUUGGAGCAUGCCAGAAAUUAUUGAAAGUGAAGGUGGACGAGGUAGAGGAUAAUGAAAG